rnacentral:rRNA from 1 species
UUGCACGCUGGCGGCAUGCCUUACACAUGCAAGUCGCACGGCAGCAUGAUCUAGCUUGCUAGAUUGAUGGCGCGUGGCGAACGGGUGAGUAAUACAUCGGAACGUGCCCUGUAGUGGGGGAUAACUAGUCGAAAGAUUAGCUAAUACCGCAUACGACCUGAGGGUGAAAGUGGGGGACCGCAAGGCCUCAUGCUAUAGGAGCGGCCGAUGUCUGAUUAGCUAGUUGGUGAGGUAAAGGCUCACCAAGGCGACGAUCAGUAGCUGGUCUGAGAGGACGAUCAGCCACACUGGGACUGAGACACGGCCCAGACUCCUACGGGAGGCAGCAGUGGGGAAUUUUGGACAAUGGGCGAAAGCCUGAUCCAGCAAUGCCGCGUGUGUGAAGAAGGCCUUCGGGUUGUAAAGCACUUUUGUCCGGAAAGAAAUGGCUCUGGUUAAUACCUGGGGUCGAUGACGGUACCGGAAGAAUAAGGACCGGCUAACUACGUG